GGGCCACAGGACAGUGGGAAAUGCUGUGGGAACCCACUGGGUGGGGGUAACUCAGAACUUUGCUUUAUUUACCCCAAACAUCAGAAUCCUCAGGGUGACAUAGAGCUGGAACAGGCCUUUUGGAUUGUGUUUUCCAACCUCCUCAACCUCAAAGUGGGGUAACUGAGGUCCAGAGAGGAGACGGACUUUGCUUAAAUCCCACAAUGACUCUGGGCAGAAUCAGGCCCAGAAUCUAGUGGAGCAGAAGGGUAUUCAGGCUGCCAGAGGAUCAACACCGAGAGCAGAGAGGCACAGCUGCCCUUUUGCACUGUGUCCCUGUGCCUGGCACAUUAGAGGCACUCAGGUGAGAAUUAUUGAGCGAGGGAGUGCGCUGGGAAGAGCACACAGCCUGGGUGUCUGUCUCGAGCUGGAACCUGUCUCUGAUAGCCAGCUCUGCCUCCCUGGGUAAGUGCUUUCAUCUUGCUGAGCAUCCAUUUCCCAAAAUAAGAUCAGAAACCCACUUGGGAGGUCUCCAAGCAGGGAUUUGAACUCAGGUCUACCUGAUUCCAGGGCAGGUUUUUUACCCUGCACUUUCUUGAUUCCUUUAUAUAUCUUAUUCAUUCAUUCAUUCAUUCAUACACUGAUUCAUUCAUUCAUCCAGUCAUUUAGAAAAUGUUGAUUGAGCAUCUGCCCUGUGCCAGGCACUGUUCUAGGCUGUGCAAAUUCAGCAGUGAAUGAGGCAGAUGAAGUUUCUGCCCUUGUGGAACUUAAAUUCUAGAAGAGAGAGAUAGACGGUCAACAAAUCAACAAAUAGAAUGGGAAUAGUGGUAGACUGGGCGCGGCGGCUCACGCAUGUAAUCCCAGCACUUUUGGAGGCCGAGGCGGGCAGAUCACUUGAGGUCAGGAGUUCAAGACAACAUAGUGAAACCCCGUCUGUACUAAAAAUAGAAAAGUUAGCUAGACGUGGUGGUGGGCACUUGUAAUCCCAGCUACUCAGAAGGCAGAGGCAGGAGAAUGGCUUGAACCCGGGAGGCGGAGGUUGUGGUGAGCCAAGAUUGUGCCAUUGCACUCCAGCCGGGGCAACAAGAGCGAAACUCCGUCUAAAAAAAAAAGAAUGAGAAUAGUGGUGAGUGCCCUACAGGAACUAAAACAGGGGGGAUGGGACUGGGGAGGGGUCUGCCUUAGACAGUGUGGUCAGGAAAGGAGAUGACGUUUUGUGAGAUGCCUAAGAGAAGCAGCAGCCUGCUGUGUGAAGAACCUGAACAAAUAAUUGAUAAAAUGAGAAGCAUGGAGCUGUGACAGGCCUCAGACCUCCAAAAGACAAGGCGAGGAGGGGGAAGGAAAGCAGGUGUCAAAACAUCCCAAACAGCCUGAAAGGCCUUGUGGGGAGCAAUGCGGCCCUUUUGGGGCACCUAUACCCAGGUCACCUUGGUCACCUUGGACCUCUUCCCCUCCGGUCACCUUUGCCUUCCAGGUGAAGCAGAUCAUGGAGGAGGCUGUGACACGCAAGUUUGUCCACGAAGACAGCAGCCACAUCAUCUCCUUCUGUGCGGCUGUGGAGGCCUGCGUUCUACACGGGCUUCGGCGGCGGGCGGCUGGCUUCCUACGCAGCAAUAAGAUUGCAGCCCUCUUUAUGAAAGUGGGCAAGAACUUCCCGCCGGCUGAGGAUCUGAGCCGCAAGGUGCAAGACCUGGAGCAGCUGAUCGAGAGCGCGAGAAACCAGAUCCAAGGCCUCCAGGAGAAUGUGCGGAAGCUGCCGAAGCUGCCCAACUUGUCCCCACUUGCCAUCAAGCAUCUGUGGAUUCGCACAGCCUUGUUUGAGAAGGUCCUGGACAAAAUUGUGCAUUACCUUGUGGAAAACAGCAGUAAAUACUAUGAGAAGGAAGCUCUCCUGAUGGACCCUGUGGACGGCCCCAUCCUUGCAUCUUUGUUGGUGGGGCCCUGUGCCCUAGAGUACACCAAGAUGAAGACUGCAGAUCACUUCUGGACCGAUCCCUCGGCUGACGAACUUGUCCAGAGGCACCGCAUCCACAGCUCCCACGUGCGGCAGGACUCGCCCACCAAGCGUCCUGCCCUCUGUAUCCAGAAGAGGCAUUCCAGUGGCAGCAUGGAUGACCGGCCAUCCCUCUCUGCCCGCGACUACGUGGAGUCCCUGCAUCAGAACUCCCGUGCCACCCUUCUCUAUGGCAAAAACAACGUUCUUGUUCAGCCGAGGGACGACAUGGAGGCUGUGCCAGGGUACCUGUCCCUGCACCAGACGGCUGACGUCAUGACCUUGAAGUGGACACCCAACCAGCUGAUGAACGGGUCUGUGGGGGACCUGGACUAUGAGAAGAGCGUCUACUGGGACUAUGCCAUGACCAUCCGCUUGGAGGAGAUUGUCUACCUGCACUGCCACCAGCAAGUUGACAGCGGCGGGACAGUGGUAUUGGUCAGCCAGGACGGGAUCCAGAGGCCGCCCUUCCGCUUCCCCAAGGGCGGGCACCUCCUGCAGUUCCUCUCGUGCCUGGAGAAUGGGCUGCUCCCACAUGGGCAGUUGGACCCGCCACUGUGGUCCCAGAGGGGUAAGGGCAAAGUGUUUCCUAAACUGCGCAAGCGAAGCCCUCAGGGUUCUGCCGAGUCCACAUCUUCAGACAAAGAUGAUGACGAGGCCACGGAUUAUGUGUUCAGGAUCAUCUACCCUGGCAUGCAGUCGGAAUUCGUGCCCCAGGAUCUGAUGGACGUCUCUGUAAGCAACCUCCCAUCCCUGUGGCAGCCCAGUCCCCGGAAGUCCUCCUGUUCAUCCUGUUCACAGAGUGGCUUGGCUGAUGGUAGCUCGACCAAUGGCUGCAACCAUGAGAGGGCUCCCCUGAAACUUCUCUGUGACAAUAUGAAGUACCAGAUCCUCUCCAGAGCCUUCUAUGGAUGGCUGGCCUACUGCAGACACCUGUCCACCGUGAGGACCCACCUAUCAGCCCUGGUCAAUCACAUGAUCGUGUCUCCAGACUUGCCCUGCGAUGCUGGACAGGGGCUGACAGCCAGGAUCUGGGAGCAGUACCUUCACGACAGCACAAGUUAUGAGGAGCAGGAGCUGCUGCGCCUCAUCUACUACGGAGGCAUCCAGCCUGAGAUCCGCAAGGCCGUGUGGCCCUUCCUCCUGGGCCACUACCAGUUCGGGAUGACGGAAACAGAAAGGAAAGAGUCCUCCCAGAGCUGCAGUUCGGGCCGCCAGAACAUCCGCCUGCACAGCGACUCCAGCAGCAGCACACAGGUGUUUGAGUCUGUGGAUGAGGUGGAGCAGGUGGAGGCUGAAGGCAGAUUGGAGGAGAAACAGCCCAAGAUCCCCAAUGGGAACCUAGUGAACGGCACUUGUUCCCCAGACUCGGGUCAUCCUUCCUCCCAUAACUUCUCCUCGGGCCUCUCAGAGCACUCAGAGCCCAGUCUGAGCACAGAAGACAGUGUCUUGGACGCCCAGCGGAACACCCCCCCGGUGCUGCGACCUAGGGAUGGCAGCGUGGAUGACAGGCAGAGCAGCGAGGCCACCACAUCUCAGGAUGAGGCUCCCCGGGAGGAGCUGGCCGUGCAGGACAGCCUGGAGAGCGACCUCCUGGCCAACGAGAGCAUGGACGAGUUCAUGUCCAUCACGGGCAGCCUGGACAUGGCCCUGCCUGAAAAGGACGAUGUUGUGAUGGAGGGCUGGAGGAGCAGCGAGGCAGAGAAACAUGGCCAGGCGGACAGUGAGGACAACCUCUCGGAGGAGCCUGAGAUGGAAAGUCUCUUCCCUGCCCUGGCUUCUCUGGCUGUGACUACUUCUGCCAACGAGGUGUCCCCUGUGUCUUCCAGCGGUGUCACCUACUCUCCAGAGCUGCUGGAUCUGUACACGGUGAACCUGCACCGCAUCGAGAAGGAUGUGCAGAGGUGCGACCGCAACUACUGGUACUUCACGCCCGCCAACUUGGAGAAGCUGCGUAACAUCAUGUGCAGCUACAUCUGGCAGCACAUUGAGAUCGGCUAUGUCCAGGGCAUGUGUGAUCUUCUGGCUCCACUGCUGGUCAUUCUGGAUGAUGAGGCCCUUGCCUUCAGCUGCUUCACGGAGCUCAUGAAGAGGAUGAACCAGAACUUCCCCCACGGAGGCGCCAUGGACACGCACUUUGCAAACAUGAGAUCGUUGAUCCAGAUCCUGGACUCAGAGCUGUUUGAGCUGAUGCAUCAGAACGGGGACUAUACUCACUUCUACUUCUGCUACCGCUGGUUCCUGCUGGAUUUCAAGCGAGAACUCGUCUAUGAUGACGUCUUCUUGGUCUGGGAGACCAUCUGGGCAGCCAAACACGUCUCCUCUGCGCACUACGUCCUGUUCAUUGCGCUGGCUCUGGUGGAAGUCUACCGUGACAUCAUUUUGGAGAACAACAUGGACUUCACAGACAUCAUCAAAUUCUUUAAUGAAAUGGCUGAGCGACACAACACCAAGCAAAUCCUGAAGCUGGCGCGGGACCUCGUGUACAAGGUGCAGACUCUGAUUGAGAACAAGUGAGGGGCACCUCACCCCGGCAGCCUCAGUCAAGCUGCCCCCACCCCGCUCCUCUGCUUACUUUUCCUCCUGGCUGGAUGGGCACCCCGGGAGCGGGGUCCUGGUGUCUGUUCACAAGCGUGGAGUUCAGUGCGCAAAGAAACUACCCUGACUUUUACUUCUGGGCAGAUGGGGUGGAGGGAGUACCCCUUCAAUUCAGCCUUACAUUUUCCUGUUUGACCAAAGAUUGCCCAAGUCUGGCGUUCCUCCCUUGCAGGAGGUGGAGGUUGUUGGUGGAGGAGGAGCCAUCUUUGUUUGCUGGUGCCCGGAAUGGUCUCCUCUUCUUCUUUCCCUAUCCCUCCAAACUGUCUUGUAAGAUGAGACCUGGGGAGGGAACUUCUUUUUGGAAAUUGGUGUAGAAGUGGUGUGUGGGGCUACCUCUAUGCUCCUCUGCAAGGGGCCUUUGGCGAUGUUCUGGACAUGGCUAAAGAUUGACUUAGAGAUUGACCCUCCACCUCGACAUUACUGACAUUUGGGGCCAGGUGAUUCUUUUUGAGGGGACUGUCCCCUGCAUUGUAGGAUGCUGAGCAGCAUCCCGGGCCUCACCAGAUGCCAGUAGUGCCAUCCCCCAACCAUACCCCUGGUUGUGACAGCCCCCAAAAAUGUCUCUAGACAUUGCGAAAUGUUCCCUGCAGGGCAAAAUUGCCCCCAUUUGAGAACCACUGGCUUGGAGAAGGGACUACAAAUGUACUUCCUCCCCCAUUCUUUGGAUGCUAAGCCACCCUGGUCCUGGCGCCUCCCCUCACUUAGAAAAGGCAUACAGGAGGCCGGGCAUGGUGGCUCACACCUGUAAUCCCAGCACUUUGGGAGGCUAAGGUGGGUGGAUC
rnacentral:sRNA from 1 species